AACGAACGCUGGCGGCAUGCCUAACACAUGCAAGUCGAACGAGCCCUUCGGGUCUAGUGGCGCACGGGUUCGUAACGCGUGGGAACCUGCACUUAGGUUUGGACUACCUCCCCGACAGGGGUGCUAAUACCGGAUAAUGUCUUCGGACCAAAGAUUUAUCGCCUUUGGAUGGGCCCGCGUUGGAUUAGCUAGUUGGUAGGGUAAAAGCCUACCAAGGCGACGAUCCAUAGCUGGUCUGAGAGGAUGAUCAGCCACACUGGGAGUAGGACACGGCCCAGACUCCUACGGGAAGGAGCAGUGGGGAAUAUUGGACAGUGGGCGAAAGCCUGAUCCAGCAAGGCCGCGUGAGUGAUGAAGGCCUUAGGGUUGUAAAGCGCUUUUACCCGGGAUGGUAAUGACAGUACCGGGAGAAUAAGCUCCGGCUAACUCCGUG
rnacentral:rRNA from 1 species